rnacentral:rRNA from 1 species
AGCAGCCGCGGUAAUUCCAGCUCCAAUAGCGUAUAUUAAAGUUGUUGCAGUUAAAAAGCUCGUAGUUGAAUUUCGAGACCGGUUUAUUGGUCGUGCUUUUGUACGUACUGGUAUUAUUGGUUUCUCCUUUCUGACGAAUCAUAAUGCCAUUAAUUUGGUGUUUUGGGGGAAUCAGGACUGUUACUUUGAAAAAAUUAGAGUGUUUAAAGCAGGCUCACGCUUGAAUACAUUAGCAUGGAAUAACGAAAUAGGACGUUUGAUUUUAUUUUGUUGGUUUCUAGGAUCGACGUAAUGAUUAAUAAGGGAUAGUUGGGGGCAUUAGUAUUCAAUUGUCAGAGGUGAAAUUCUUGGAUUUAUUGAAGACUAACUACUGCGAAAGCAUUUGCCAAGG